rnacentral:rRNA from 1 species
CUUGCUCCCUUAGGUCAGCGGCGGACGGGUGAGUAACACGUGGGUAACCUGCCUGUAAGACUGGGAUAACUCCGGGAAACCGGGGCUAAUACCGGAUGCUUGAUUGAACCGCACGGUUCAAUCAUAAAAGGUGGCUUUUAGCUACCACUUACAGAUGGACCCGCGGCGCAAUAGCUAGUUGGUGAGGUAACGGCUCACCAAGGCGACGAUGCGUAGCCGACCUGAGAGGGUGAUCGGCCACACUGGGACUGAGACACGGCCCAGACUCCUACGGGAGGCAGCAGUAGGGAAUCUUCCGCAAUGGACGAAAGUCUGACGGAGCAACGCCGCGUGAGUGAUGAAGGUUUUCGGAUCGUAAAACUCUGUUGUUAGGGAAGAACAAGUACCGUUCGAAUAGGGCGGUACCUUGACGGUACCUAACCAGAAAGCCACGGCUAACUACGUGCCAGCAGCCGCGGUAAUACGUAGGUGGCAAGCGUUGUCCGGAAUUAUUGGGCGUAAAGCGCGCGCAGGCGGUUUCUUAAGUCUGAUGUGAAAGCCCCCGGCUCAACCGGGGAGGGUCAUUGGAAACUGGGGAACUUGAGUGCAGAAGAGGAGAGUGGAAUUCCACGUGUAGCGGUGAAAUGCGUAGAGAUGUGGAGGAACACCAGUGGCGAAGGCGACUCUCUGGUCUGUAACUGACGCUGAGGCGCGAAAGCGUGGGGAGCGAACAGGAUUAGAUACCCUGGUAGUCCACGCCGUAAACGAUGAGUGCUAAGUGUUAGAGGGUUUCCGCCCUUUAGUGCUGCAGCAAACCCAUUAACACUCCGCCUGGGGAGUACGGUCGCAAGACUGAACUCAAA